rnacentral:rRNA from 1 species
UAUGUAGGGGGCUAGCGUUGUCCGGAUUUAUUGGGCGUAAAGAGCGUGUAGGCGGCCAGGUAGGUCCGUUGUGAAAACUCGAGGCUCAACCUCGAGACGUCGGCGGAAACCCUCUGGCUAGAGUCCGGAAGAGGAGAGUGGAAUUCCUGGUGUAGCGGUGAAAUGCGCAGAUAUCAGGAAGAACACCCGUGGCGAAGGCGGCUCUCUGGGACGGUACUGACGCUGAGACGCGAAAGCGUGGGGAGCAAACAGG